GUAGGUCUGUAGGCUAUGUCCUCUAGUAAUCUAAUCCGGCAGACGGUAUUUGCUUAUAAGCCAACCGCGUAGCACCAUAAAAGUGGGCAUCUCCCCUCUCCCACGCCUUCCACAGGAAACCCAGAGAAGAAAAGACAGAAUGAGAGAUGCUUGACGUAGAGGAGAAUAAAUACUUAUAUUUCUUUAUGCUGACCUUUGUAAUUGGAAUCCAACAAACUUUGAUCUUGUGCUGUCAAGACUUUCUAGUUCUUUAAGUCCACCCAAGCAAGUCUGGCAAGAAAAUGAGGAGCAUUGCCAGAACAAAACUUCAGAACCAUUUCAAAGAGGAUGAUAGCCAGUGGGUCUUUAUCUACAAUAGGUUGAUCUGUUGAUGUGUUGUUUGAAUCAUUAUUACCAGUGUAUAAGGCUGAUUUGGCAUUUAAGACAAAUGGAAUGGACACACAGGUGGACAGACAGACAAUCAGAAGGACAGAUAGAGAGACAUAAAAAAUACAGACAGACGGACAUAAAACAGACAUGCAUGCAUACAGAUAGACAUAGUCAAAUUAAACAGGACAGAGAGCAAGGCAGAUAUAUUAAAAGACAAUCGAACACCAGACCUGUUAAUGAGAAAAAACAGACAAGCAAAGGACAGACGGACACAAUAAAACAGGACAAGACAGACAUAUAUGCAUGAAGUCAGACCAUGUAACAGACACAAAUACAUAUUGCAUACUUAGUUCCUUUUGAAAUGUCUGUUUAAUGCCCUUGAUUUCAUCAGUAUCGGAUUCAUGUGGUAUUCUCAUUCUUUCAAUCAUGGUAUACAAUAUAUUGAUAUAGACCCUAUAAGGAAAGGUUAAUAAGGUUAAUCAUCAUAAAACAAUGGCAUAACAGUUACAAAUGCCUUCAUAUAUGCCAUUUUUACUAACAGUACAAUACCUCAAGUUAGUACUAUCCGCUAUUGAUAUUGAAGGCUUCUGGAGUGCAGCUGUGGCAGCAUGGGAAUUCCUAAAAAUAAUUAUAAUUACAAGUUAUUAAACAAUUAUGCUCCUAAAGAGUUGGUUAGGAUUUUUCCUUGAUUGCAGGAUUGUAUCCAGGUUCUCUGGUUUUCCUCCCUCCGAAAAACCUAAAGAGCUAAAUUCCACAUUGAUCUGUAGUCAUGUUUUGGCUAUGAUCAGCCCUGAGGUUGUUUCAUUGCUUGAUCUGUGAACUAGUCAUGCCUUAACUUUGAUAAACACAGAGGUUGUUUCAGGGUACCUAUUACAACAUUUGAUUAGUUGAAUAUGAAAACUAUUCUCACUCUAUUUCCAUUUGUAAAAGCUGAGUUACAAUAGUAAAGGCUUCCAACUUGUAAAGGAGUAUGACAUUGUGGUUUGACUGAAAGAACAAGAAGAAAAACCAUCAAUGUACAUUUGAUAAAUAAAAAUGUGUUAAACAUA